rnacentral:rRNA from 1 species
AUCAAGUUACACAAAGGCAUAUAAUGGAUGCCCUGACACUUUGUUCCGAUGAAGGACGUGGUAAACUGCGAUAAGCUUCGGCGAGCCGUUAUGCAGGCAUUGACCCGGAGAUUUCCGAAUGGGUGAACCCCCCCGAUGUUAUGAUCGGGGACUCCCAACUGAAUACAUAGGUUGGGAAGAGGAUACUUGGCGAACUGAAACAUCUUAGUAGCCAAGGAAAAGAAAUCAAAUGAGAUUCCCUUAGUAGUGGCGAGCGAACAGGGAGUAGCCCAAACUCCGAUGUUUACAUCGGAGGGUUGUAGGACUCUAACGUAGAGUUUGUCUUUAUAAUUGAAGGAACCUGGAAAGGACCACCAUAGAGGGUAAUAGUCCCGUAAGUUAAAUAAAGGCAAAAUCUUAAGAUGUUCCUGAGUAGGGUCGGACACGUGAAAUCCGGCCUGAAUCCGGGAGGACCACCUUCCAAGGCUAAACAGACAAAGUGAUCGAUAGCGGACUAGUACCGUGAGGGAAAGGUGAAAAGUACCCCGGGUAGGGGGAUGAAAUAGUAUCUGAAAUUAUAUGCCUGCAAGGAGUGGGAGCCCGCCUCGGCGGGUGACCGCGUGCUUUUUGUAGAACGAGCCAACGAGUUAGCUGUAUCUGGCAAGGCUAAGGGAGUUACACCCGGAGCCGUAGCGAAAGCGAGUGCGAAUAGCGCGUUCUAGUAACUGCAUUAUGGUCGCCAUUUUAUAUAUAAGAACGAUUUACGAUUUUCGUUAAUUAUCGUUAAUCAAUGAUCAAAAUUUAGUAUUUAAACGAAUUAUUAUGAAUUAUAAAGAUUUAAAUGUAUAUCAACGGGCUUAUAAAGUGGCCAUUGAUCUUCAUCAUUUUAUUGAUGAGAAUUCUAAAAUGGGUGUCAAUCAUUCGAAGGAACUUUACAACUCCUCUCGUGAUAUUCUCUGUAAUAUCGUCGAGGGAUUCCGUCAGCGAACGACCAAAGCGAAGCGUUUUUUUAACUUCAAAGCUUUGGACGUCAUUCGUCGGAUUCAAAUGGAUUUAGAUUUCCUUCAUGACAUCCAACUGAUUUCAGACGAUGACUAUUCGUUGUUUUAUAACGAAUAUGAUGUCUGUGCUAAACAACUGUUCAAGUUGAACAAUUCCAUUCUCGAAAGAGAACGUGAAAAGCAAGUCGAAACGAUGGUGACAGCACCGGCUGUUUCUGCGGCUUAGAUUUUUUGGCGACCAUAAUGUAGUUACUAGUUAGUCAGGUGCACUAGACCCGAAACUGAGUGAGCUAUCCAUGGGCAGGUUGAAGCGUAGGUAAAACUACGUGGAGGACCGAACCCACUUGUGCUGCAAGACAAGGGGAUGACCUGUGGAUAGAGGUGAAAUGCCAAUCGAACUCAGAGAUAGCUGGUUCUCCUCGAAAUAGCUUUAGGGCUAGCCUCGAGUAAAUGAGUGAUGGAGGUAGAGCUCUGUCAAGGCUAGGGGGCGAAAUAAGUCUACCAAACCUUAAUAAACUUCGAAUUCCGUCAUUUCUUAUCUCGGGAGUCAGACUGUGACAGCUAAGUGCCAUAGUCAAAAGGGAAACAGCCCAGAUCGUCUGCUAAGGUCCCUAAUAUAAGUUGAGUGGCAAAGGAUGUGAGAUUGCUGAUACAACCAGGAGGUUGGCUUAGAAGCAGCCAUUCCUUUAAAGAGUGCGUAAUAGCUCACUGGUCUACCCUCACCUUCGGGUGGGGCGAUCUUGCGCCGAAAAUCCAACGGGGCUAAACUUUAUAACCGAAGCAACGAGUGCAUCGCUUUGAGCGAUGUGCGGUAGAGGAGCAUUCCUGUCAGCGUUGAAGUCGACUCGUAAGGGUCGGUGGAGCGUCAGGAAGAGAAAAUGUUGGCAUAAGUAACUUGAAUGCCGGUGAAAAACCGGCACACCGAAAGCCCAAGGUUUCCCACGCAACGGUAAUCGGCGUGGGGUUAGUCGGUCCUAAGGCGAGGCUGAAAAGCGUAGUCGAUGGACAACAGGUUAAUAUUCCUGUACCAGUUUUAUACCGUCCAAGCGAAUUUUGGUGAAUGCUUGAUUGUUUUUCGUGAGACUUCGGUUUUGCGAACCACUUUUAGGACUAGCCAAGAGGAGUUAGCAAUGGAGGGACGUGGCAUGGUAGUUCGGGCCUACCCAUUGAACAUGGUAGGUGUAAGCGAUUAGGGUCAUAUUCACGUAGGCAAAUCCGCGUGAAUUCGUACCUGAGGCGCGAUGCAAAAUACCCCGCGCAAGCGGGACGAUUCGAAUGAUCUAAGCUGACUAGAAAAUCUUCUAGCGAGGUAUAAAACUGUCCGUACCGCAAACCAACGCUGGUGGGUAGGAUGAGUAUUCUAAGGUGAUCGAGAAAACUAGUGUUAAGGAACUCGGCAAAAUAGCGUCCGUAACUUCGGGAUAAGGACUGCCUCGAUGAAUAAUCGGGGCCGCAGCGAAAGACUCCAGGCGACUGUUUAUCAAAAACACAGGUCUCUGCAAAACCGUAAGGUGAUGUAUAGGGGCUGAUGCCUGCCCAGUGCCAGAAGGUUAAAAGGAGGGGUUUACGCUCCAAAUUGAAGCCCUGGUGAACGGCGGCCGUAACUAUAACGGUCCUAAGGUAGCGAAAUUCCUUGUCGGGUAAGUUCCGACCCGCACGAAUGGUACAACGGUCUGGAGACUGUCUCAACACUAGACUCGGUGAAAUUGCAAAAUCGGUAAAAAUGCCGAUUAACUACGGCAAGACGAAAAGACCCUAUGAAGCUUUACUAUAAUUUGACAUUGAAGCCGGAACUAUUCUGUGUAGGAUAGGUGGGAGACUAUGAAGUCCCGACGCUAGUCGGGAUGGAGUCAUCCUUGAAAUACCACCCCGAAUAGUUUUUGCUUCUAACUUGUCCCGUUAUCCGGGAUGAGGACAGUGUUUGACGGGUAGUUUAACUGGGGCGGUUGCCUCCUAAAUUGUAACGGAGGCGCGCAAUGGUCCGCUAGGCCUGGAUGGAAAUCAGGCUGAUAGUGUAUUCGCAUAAGCGGGCUUGACUGUGAGGGCUACAACCCGAGCAGGUGCGAAAGCAGGUGAAAGUGAUCCGGCACCUUGUACUGAAUUUUUUUCGGUACGACCACGUGGGUGGGGUGUCGCUCAACGGAUAAAAGUUACUCUAGGGAUAACAGGCUUAUAGUGCCCAAGCGCCCACAGCGACGGCACUGUUUGGCACCUCGAUGUCGGCUCAUCGCAUCCUGGGGGUGGAGAAGCUCCCAAGGGUAUGGCUGUUCGCCAUUUAAAGCGGUACGCGAGCUGGGUUCAGAACGUCGUGAGACAGUUUGGCCUCUAUCUGUCGUAGUCGUAGGAAAAUUGAGAGGAUCUGCUCCUAGUACGAGAGGACCGGAGUGGACAAACCCCUGGUGUACCAGUUGUCGUGUCAACGGCAUUGCUGGGUAGCUAAGUUUGGUCGUGAUAACCGCUGAAAGCAUCUAAGCGGGAAGCCGUGCUCAAGAUUAUUUUCCCCAUUAGGCCUGAAGUAGACUACUUCUUUAAUAGGCAUCAAGUGUAAGCCCAGUAAUGGGUUCAGCUGAGAUGUACUAAUCGGCCAAUAGACUUU